CUCCACAUCUAACGUGGCAUUUGUUUUUCUCUUACUGCUAUCUGCUGGAACAUGCCUUUUACGCCCCCCAUUUCGAAAUUUCUCACCUCCCCCACUUCUCCCCUUUGCCCAGCUUCGCAACGUUCUCCCCUUUUGCUUAGUUUUAUCUUCCUUUCUGUCUUUCCUUGCUCUUUGCUUUUUCUUCCUCUUCGUGAAAUUUGUUUGGGCGCCCUACUAUUUCCUUCACCCCACAUUCUCACUCGCAUUUGGAUCUCACUUGUGAAACCCAAUGAAUUCUCACAACAUCCAAGCAGGAGAAGCAAAUCUAAAUAAAACAAUGACCUUUGCAAGAUUUCGAGAUCAGAAAACCCCUACCAUGGGUUCUCACCAAAGAGUGUUCUUCAAGAUCAAGGUUGCAACAGUUCAUGCUUUGGAAUCAGAAAUGGCAUAGAACUUGAACCAGGGAGGUGCGGAAGAACAGAUGGGAAGAAGUGGCGAUGCAGCAGGGACAUUGUUCUUGAUCGAAAGUAUUGUGUGCAGCACAUGCACAGAGGUGCCAAAAAGCAUGUGGCAGUGACCCAAAAAAUAUCUGUUCCCACAGCUUCUUCCAGUGUUGCAAUUCAUAGAGCUUCACCAUCUCUCUCUACAAAUGUACCCAACGAGGCAGGUCUUUCUUCUCUGAACACAGAUCUUUCCAUCUCAAUCUAAGCUAGCUCUCAACUCCUGGAAAUUGAUGAAAAAAGUACCACCAACAGUAGUUGUGAUACUACCAUGACGGACACCAGCAUCACUGCCAAUGAGUAUAGUUACAUUUCCUGUUAAGGCGCUAUCUAGAAGACCAACCUUGUAAUCUUUGAAGUUCUUUUGUACCAUUCCAGCGGUUGAUACACCAGUUUUGGGGAGUUGUUGAACUAUUUGGUUAAAUGGAUACACUGCUUAUAGUUUUGCGUUUUCAGCUUUCUCACCCACAAAGCUCUUGAUUCGGUUGUACUGAUACACUCCUAAAAAAAUGGAAAAUAUAGGGAUUUUCUUCGAGAAAA